AUCAUAUUUCAAUCGAUCAGCUCUCACUGUUCUGUGCACACAACGUUAACAAGGACGGAGAGAAAGAAAGAAAAAAGUCCAUUCAACACCACUGACUGCUAUUUUAACCCUUUCAAAGGUGGGUUUUUAAGUCAUUAAAAUUCGAUCAAAUCACCGUAAAACCAGAUUUAAAAAAAAAAAAAAAAGCUUGAAUAUUAUUUUUAAACUGUUUACAGAAUUCAGGACAUGGUACAACGUAAAAAGUUAUAGAACUUUCAGAAAAAAGUAAAACAAGCACAUCUUAAAAGCUUCUCAAUAACAAUGCAUCCUCCUACCACCCCAUUUCAGUGUUUUAGGAUCCAAAACAUGGUUCUCCAGAUAAAGGAAUGUCCCCACACGAGAUACAGGAGUAAUCUGUCUCCAUACGAAGAACCAUUUUUUCCAGUAACUAUUUACAUAAUUCAGAGGUGCUGGAAUAUAAAAAGGCAAAAAAUCUCAAUAACUAUGUGUGUAUUCCCUUCACCAUGAGGUGUGUAGCUAUGACUUUAAAUAACUACUGACCUCUGUCAACCAACAUGUAAUGACACCAAGGGUUGUUUUAAUGUAGAAGUCAAAAUCUGGAGAAAUAAAAAUAAUCCUCCAGUAAUAAGACCACAAACUGAGCUUUCCCUCCCAUUUAACUUAAACGUCUGUUGAUAAUUCCUGCCUAAUUUAAUAUAAAGCAAACGUGUGGGGAAAAAAUGUAGUUCCUUCAUGUAGAAUUUAAAAUGCUUGUACUAAUAUCCUGGGGUCUAAAUAUAUUGCUGUUAUAUUACUGUUCUAACUGACACAGUUACUCCAAUAGAAUAUUUUUUUUAAAUAAAUUUUGUUGCUCGAUUAAAUAUUCAUCAGGGAUUCAGAGCUUAAAAUGUUAUCAAAAUAAAUACAUUCAACCACGGUUAAUUUUUUUAUUCAACACCACACUAUACUCGUAACUCAUAACUUAUUGCCAGUACUGAAGGGAUAAAAACUAGUGUGUAGGGCUUCUCAAACCUGGUCCUGGCCCCCCCCCCCUGUGUCUGCUGGUUUUCAUUCCAACCGAGCUCUCAAUUACUGAACUAGACCCUUGAACUAGUUAUUUGCUUAAUUUGACAUUUUUUUACUUGUUUUCAGCUCUUAAACAGUUGCAGUUCAAGUUACUUAUCAAAUGUUAUAGCUAACUUGAAAUAUGCAACAGUUCAAGAGCUGAAAACUAGUAAAAAGGUCUAAUUAAGCAAAUUAUCAGUUCAAUUAAGGGUCUAGUUAAGUAAUUGAGAGCUCGGUUGGAAUGAAAACCAGCAGACACAGGGGGUCCCCAGGACCGUGUUUGACAAGCCCUGGACUAGUGGAUAACUUGACCUCUGACUGGAAAUGGAUUGUUAAUUCAUUCAUUCAUUCAUUCAUUCAUUCAUGCAUUCACCAACUGCAGCUGGUUACAGUAUCCAUUAAUAAUGAGAAUGGAAUUUGGUUUUGCAUUAAAGCUUGUGAAAGUGUAGAAGUGCCAUUUUGUAAACAAGUCAUGUGCAGCAACACCAUGUUGUUCUACUCUGUGAGCUCCCUUGUGUGCAGGACAUCAAGAAAGGCUAUUAAUAUAGAGAGGCAAUGCUUCAUUUGUGCCGGAGCCCCGACACCUCUGGACUCGCCGCAUUGGUUACAAAUGGGGGGAAAAAAAAUAAUCUAAAUUCUUUUGCUUUGGAAUGUGGUUUUCUUUAAAUUGUCGACCUAAUUUGUAUUGUAUCCAUUCUGUAAGUUCUUUCGUGUGCGAGAUUCAUGAGUUGGCACUGCAGGAUUAGGGUAAGGAAAACUUUUUUUGUUUUCUUUUUUUCUAAGUUUGGCGACAUUUGUUUGGUCCAUACUAAAAUAGAAUUGAUUGAUUUCCAUUAACAACAUUCCUUAAUAAUUUAGAAGACAAAGUAAACAUAGUUGACUAGUUUUAUUGGUUGUUGAUGUAUUUAAAAGUUGUUAUUGUGAUGUAAGCUCGCUGUUCGUAUAAUAUAGUACUGCAGUUAUCGUUGUUUUAACCAAACAAAGAUUGGUUGUGGAGAAUGUGUCCUACAGUUUUUUAAAAUUUAUUUUUCUGCACAAGCUGCUGCUUUGUGUAUGAUGUAGAAUAUGUGGUUGUAAUAAAACAUCUAACAUUAGUACGAAGUCACAUAUGCGUAUGUUGAUAUUUAUAAUUUCUUCUAGGAUUAAGUCGUUAUCAUUAGGAGACAUUUAAAUAAUCUGCAUUUUCUUUAUUUAUUUAUUUUUUUAAUGCGAGUAAAUAACAUGGGAAGUAUAUCACAGUUACAUAAGUCCAUUGAAAUAAAGAUUGUUAAUUUCUUAAUUUAAUUCAUGGUAACUUUAUGAAAGUUCAGCUUUUUACGUGUCAAAAGGAGUUGGAAGUCUUUAAAAAAUGGCCUUUACUGAACAUUAAAGACCAUCUAAACCGUAACACUCCCUAGUAGGUGAUUUCCCGCCCCCCCAAACAUAUUUUUUAAAAGCUGAGUUCGUAGAAGAUGUGUAUUUUCUACUAUCAAACAAAUACACGAAAUAAAGUAUACUGUAAAUAAAUAAAUAAAGUAUUAAAAUUCAAAUUAUUGACGUAACAUUUUGACUUUUUCUGUAAUUGUCAAGGUGAAUCCUUGAGUUGCACCAGUCCAUGCUAAUCUUCUAUAACAGAGAACUCAACAGCCUUCAGCCCAGUGCUAACUUGCAGUACAGAGCCUAAAGAAUCAGUUUCAUCUUUGAAAGCCAACUGCUUCCUUCGGUUUGAGAUACCAUGGGAAAAAUUGCCAACUGACCUGCUUUAUAAGCUAGAAAAACAAGAAAGGCCAUACCCAAAGCAACGACAAGCAAUGUUGCGAAUUAUCAUUAAUGAAGUCACAAGCGUCUGCAAGAGACCGUCAAAGAAAUAUCUUACAGAGAUAGCAAGGAAAAUGGUGUUAAAAUAUCACAAGUCUUUGCAAGAUGUUAUUGAAGGCCAAAUAGUUGGAAGCAGGUAUGAUUCCUUGGUAAAACAGCUGCGGCAAGAGCAGAAAAUGUAAAGCGCACAAUUUCUUUUACCAAAGGGCAGCUUCAACAAUCUGGUGGGAGUGACACAGAAGAAAUUCCCUCAAAGAAACAAGCUUCACCUCAGGACACUUAUGGCUGUAUUAAUUGGGAUCCUGCGCAGUUGCCAAAAACAGAGACAGUGACAAGUAAAAUAAAGCAACAAGAAGAAAUGAAAACCAUGUUCACAGAAAGAAACUGGAUUCACAGAUUAUUACCAAAAAAAAUGAUGGCAACCUUUUACACGCAGAGAAAAGACAUCAUCCGAGGUAUGGCAACUGAAAAACUAAAGAAGGAAUGGCCAUUUCUGUUUGAGAUGUCAGAAAUUCAGGCACACUUCAGGGAGCUGACAGGUGUGCAGUUAGAUGGGACAUAUUCUGAGUCUUUAAAAAGCAAAGGACAAGGAAUUCUGGCCUACAAGAAGACCAAGAGUACAAAAAAGUAGAACAAUUUGUAGAAAUCUUGACACACAAAGAAGGACUUGACGAUUGUUUCCAGAGAUGCCAGGGUUAAUUUUGCUGCUGCUACUUGGCUAUUUCAAUGAAGACGACCAGCAAAUGCUUUUUUUAGGUGGAUGACAAAUGUUUACCAUCUGAAGUGAAAACAUCUGACCUGCCUGCAUCACCCUGCAUCAUUUUCUGUGGAAACUCCCUUCUGACUGCUUCGUGCUUUUACGCUGAGCAUCGACAAAGUUGUAGUUAAUGAAGACAGCCCCAGCUUCUGGCAGCUUUCAUCAUGAUGUUUGCAUUAUACUACCUCUUGAACAUACAGUACCUGGCAGAGUUGGGAGCAACACUGGCAAGUCCUUCAGAGGUGCAUCUUUAAAAUAAAUCCUGACAAAGGGACCAAGGUAGAACGCAAACCAUCUAAGAGACAAUAUGCUGUGAAUCCCAGAGUUCUUUCCCUCAUUUCUGCAGUUGCUGAUUUUGAAUGGAGAGAAAUAAAAAAUAAAAAGUUGCCUUAGGUUGAUUAUUUGUAUCUAGUAAGUUGCUAUUAUGAUUGACAACGAAGGCCCUGAAGUUCUUAGUUGGGCCUUAACAAUUCUACAGAUAUGUACUUUAAAGAUCUUUGCUCAGGUUUGUGACAAUCCGUCCCUAUUACUACAUAUUUUAAGAGUAAUACUGUAAAAUGUAAUGGUAUAACAUAAAUGUGGGUGUACAUAUAAGAUAGAAAUUGUUGAUCGUUCACUUCAACAAGCGAGUGUCGUUGAUGAGACUGUUUUUAGUGAUUCACGUGGGCGUAAUAGACUCUGAGAGCAACUCAUGAUCAACAAUUUCUAUGUGGUUACACAGUCAACAUCUUAAAAGUAUACUGACUCUUUAAAAUAUAUACAUCUUGUAAUAGGGACGAAUUGUCGUGCAUCCACUUUGCUCUGGCAAAAGUUUUUUUUUUUUUUGACCAAGUUAAACAUUUUCUCAUUCUACCCACAAUGUCAAUAUCCACAUAGGAUUCAAGUCAAGGUAGGCCUUUCCACCACUAGCUUGCGUGGGAUUGUGUCUUUCCAUAUGGAGCAGUCAGCUGAAAUUAAAUAAGUUGCUCUUUUAAUUUCAAGUACAGAAUGACUUCAGGUAGUUUAAUAUCUUUGUAUUUCCACUCAGACAGCUCAAGGCAUGCCAUAGUUAUAAUUAUAAUGGGAUGUGGAGGCUUUUGUUCUUGUUAAGAAAUAAGUGUAUAAGCAUUUUAAUUGAUCAUUAUUCAGUUCAUCUUCAUUGAUAUCAGAGGAUUAUUUGCCAAAAUAUAAGAAUUUCUUUGUUAAAUUACAGAGGAUGUUCAUGAAUAUCAAUCUAUUUGUUUGCUUUGAUGUUUCUAAACAGAACUUAUGUUUUGACUUCUUAAAAUGUCUUAUUUGUAAGAAGGAAGCACCUUGUGAGCAGAGUUUUGCUAAAAGAGGAUUAUAAAUCUUUUGCAACCGUACAAAUGUUUUUGUAUUGAUCCGCUAGUUUUCCAUAUACAGACAGACCUCCUUUUCAUUCUGUAGUAGCAUUGAAAUCAACCUGUGUGUAAUUUAUUUAUUGUACUGCAGUGUAUUUUAAUUUUGAAUAUUGUAUCAAAUAAAAAUGUAUCUCUUGCUUA